AAUUGAUUUGGAUCAUCCAACAUCAGCUGUUAUAACUAUCCAUGAUGAGGAUUCAAGGAACAAACGGCGGCCGGUUCUUCUUUACGCAGCCCUACGUCCACAAGCUAUUUUCGACGUAAUUCCCAAAAAUAAAAAGGCGUAAUAAUCUUUAUACAUUAAAACAAAAGUGUAUACGCUAUUUUAAAAAGCGUAUCUUGUGUUUACAGUGGACAGAACCCCAACAAGAAUACCCAAGGAAAUAUGGACUCUACCUAUGAAAGACUUCGGAGGCGCUGAAACCGACAAUAUUCUACCGUUCUGCACAGCCGGCUUUACCAAAAUGCCAAACAACACAAGAAGCGCAGAUUUAAAACACAGCUACACACCCCCUGGAAACUCCACCCAAUCGCUAUAUAAUCUAGCGCCUAAGGCGCAUCACAAUACUGGGUCAGAAGUGCACUGCGCAGAAUCACCCCGGCCCGAGAAGGGCGACUGGUCUGAAAACAAUUGGAUUCAAGAGCAUGCUCUCUAUGGAUAAGGACUCCAACGAUAGCUAUACAAACCAUGCAGAAUCUACAAAGCCAGAGAACAUUGGGAUAGGAACCCCGUUAUGGACGAUUCCUCAGAAAAGCAGGCGUUAAACAACCAGAGGCAUGUACGGACACAGAAGGCCCAAUAUGUCGAGAGGAAGACGCCGAUGAGGGAGAGGGCGCCCAGGACAUACAUAGUAAAACAUCUAAACAUGAUAAUUUCAACGCUGUAAAUGGCAAUGAGGAAGACGAUGUGCUGAUGUAUGAAGCGGCCAAACAGCUUGAUACAGUCAAUUCUGAUAGAUAUUCUAAAACUGGAGGACAUCGAAUUUCCCGAAGUCUUUAUGUCAGUUGUAUGUAUUUUUUAAGUUAAAAUGUAUGUAUUUUGUAUAAAUAUAUUUUAAUAUUAUUUAAAACGUCUAUAGGAUUCCCAGAUGCUACCGGGAAUAAUUGAUUUGGGUCAUCCAACAUUAGCUGUUAUAACUAUUGAAGAUGCAAAAAGGGGUUUUAAGAAAUACAUUUGUUUGAUUGACAGAUUUGUAUCAUUAUAAAAAAUWAUAUAACAUCAUUAUUAUUAUCAUAAUCUUUCUUAUUAUUAUUAUGUUACAGGCGAGACAUACCCAGAACAUACCCAGAAAUGUCAACGUCUUGUCAAGUGCUCAAAUCUGUACAGCAGCCCCAUAUAAUCACGUACAGUAGCGCCAAUUUACAAGAAUGUGUUUACCAGGCAGUGAUGAAAACAUUUUAAAUUAGCUCUAAUUCAAACAUAAAAUGAUAUAUAUUUGAUACAAUUACCCAUUCAAAACUGUUGUUACAAAAUCACUUCUCAUUGUGUACAUUUCAAGGUUUCACAAACAUAAAACAACUAUCUAAUUAACGUUUCUCGGACUAACACACUGUUGAGUUUCCUAUUUACUAAAGAACAAUCAUUAGGACAAAACACAAAAAGUUGUAAUAUAAUCAGUAUGCAUGUCAUUCUAUACUGAAAACAGGUACAUUCUGAAAGAUGUUGAUGUCAUUUUUUUUUAUUCACCUCUCAAUUUAGGAUAAUACUGUUUACUUUAUACUUUACUUAAAUUGUGUUAUUUAUCUUGUCUCAUACCAUGCUAAUAAUACACUACCAAGCAAUGCAAACGGAGAUGGAAUUAACCCCAUAACAGGUGUGUGUCUUUUUGGAUCAAGAAUUGAUCAAGAAUACCAAUAGGCUUGAUCAGAUCCUCUUCCCUAUUCGGGACAUCAUAUAAUGCACAGCCACAUGCAAAUCCAUAAAACGCCACCAAUAAAACAUUGAAAACCUUAA